rnacentral:rRNA from 1 species
ACCUUUUGGUUAUAAAUAAUUGUUAGUGGCAGACGGGUGAGUAAUGCGUAGGAAUCUACCUAGUAGUAUGGAAUAGCCAUUAGAAAUGAUGGGUAAUACUGUAUAAUCCCUGCGGGGGAAAGAUUUAUCGCUAUUAGAUGAGCCUACGUUAGAUUAGCUAGUUGGUAAGGUAAUGGCUUACCAAGGCUAUGAUCUAUAGCUGGUCUGAGAGGACGAUCAGCCACACUGGAACUGAGAUACGGUCCAGACUCCUACGGGAGGCAGCAGUGGGGAAUAUUGGACAAUGGGCGAAAGCCUGAUCCAGCUAUGCCGCGUGAGUGAAGAAGGCCUUCGGGUUGUAAAACUCUUUCAAUAGGGAAGAUA